AACGAACGCUGGCGGCAUGCCUAACACAUGCAAGUCGUACGAGACCUUCGGGUCUAGUGGCGCACGGGUGCGUAACGCGUGGGAAUCUGCCCUUGGGUUCGGAAUAACAGUUGGAAACGACUGCUAAUACCGGAUGAUGACUUCGGUCCAAGGAUUUAUCGCCCAGGGAUGAGCCCGCGUAGGAUUAGCUUGUUGGUGAGGUAAAGGCUCACCAAGGCGACGAUCCUUAGCUGGUCUGAGAGGAUGAUCAGCGACACUGGGACUGAGACACGGCCCAGACUCCUGCGGGAGGCAGCAGUGGGAAAUAUUGGACAAUGGGCGAAAGCCUGAUCCAGCAAUGCCGCGUGAGGGAUGAAGGCCGUAGGGUUGUAAAGCUCUUUUACCCGGGAUGAUAAUGACAGUACCGGGAGAAUAAGCCCCGGCUAACUCCGUGCCAGCCGCCGCGGUAA
rnacentral:rRNA from 1 species